GAUGAACGCUAGCUACAGGCUUAACACAUGCAAGUCGAGGGGUAACGAGAGGAAAGCUUGCUUUCCUUGUUGACGACCGGCGCACGGGUGAGUAACGCGUAUCCAACCUGCCCCCAACUAGGGAAUAACCUUGCGAAAGUAUGACUAAUACCCUAUAAUUUCCUCAGAUGUCAUCUGACGAGGAAUAAAGAUUUAUCGGUUGUGGAUGGGGAUGCGUCUGAUUAGCUUGUUGGCGGGGUAACGGCCCACCAAGGCAACGAUCAGUAGGGGGUCUGAGAGGAAGGUCCCCCACAUUGGAACUGAGACACGGUCCAAACUCCUAAGGGAGGCAGCAGUGAGGAAUAUUGGUCAAUGGGCGGAAGCCUGAACCGGCCAAGUAGCGUGGCGGAUGGCGGCCCUAUGGGUUGUAAACUGCUUUUAUACAGGAAUAAAGUUAGCCACGUGUGGUUAUUUGUAGGUACUGUAGGAAUAUGGACCGGCUAAGUCCGUGCCAGCAGCCGCGGUAA
rnacentral:rRNA from 1 species